AAAUUGAAGAGUUUGAUCAUGGCUCAGAUUGAACGCUGGCGGCAGGCCUAACACAUGCAAGUCGAACGGUAACAGGAAUCAGCUUGCUGAUUCGCUGACGAGUGGCGGACGGGUGAGUAAUGUCUGGGAAACUGCCCGAUGGAGGGGGAUAACUACUGGAAACGGUAGCUAAUACCGCAUAACGUCGCAAGACCAAAGAGGGGGACCUUCGGGCCUCUUGCCAUCGGAUGUGCCCAGAUGGGAUUAGCUAGUAGGUGGGGUAACGGCUCACCUAGGCGACGAUCCCUAGCUGGUCUGAGAGGAUGACCAGCCACACUGGAACUGAGACACGGUCCAGACUCCUACGGGAGGCAGCAGUGGGGAAUAUUGCACAAUGGGCGCAAGCCUGAUGCAGCCAUGCCGCGUGUAUGAAGAAGGCCUUCGGGUUGUAAAGUACUUUCAGCGGGGAGGAAGGGAGUAAAGUUAAUACCUUUGCUCAUUGACGUUACCCGCAGAAGAAGCACCGGCUAACUCCGUGCCAGCAGCCGCGGUAAUACGGAGGGUGCAAGCGUUAAUCGGAAUUACUGGGCGUAAAGCGCACGCAGGCGGUUUGUUAAGUCAGAUGUGAAAUCCCCGGGCUCAACCUGGGAACUGCAUCUGAUACUGGCAAGCUUGAGUCUCGUAGAGGGGGGUAGAAUUCCAGGUGUAGCGGUGAAAUGCGUAGAGAUCUGGAGGAAUACCGGUGGCGAAGGCGGCCCCCUGGACGAAGACUGACGCUCAGGUGCGAAAGCGUGGGGAGCAAACAGGAUUAGAUACCCUGGUAGUCCACGCCGUAAACGAUGUCGACUUGGAGGUUGUGCCCUUGAGGCGUGGCUUCCGGAGCUAACGCGUUAAGUCGACCGCCUGGGGAGUACGGCCGCAAGGUUAAAACUCAAAUGAAUUGACGGGGGCCCGCACAAGCGGUGGAGCAUGUGGUUUAAUUCGAUGCAACGCGAAGAACCUUACCUGGUCUUGACAUCCACAGAACUUUCCAGAGAUGGAUUGGUGCCUUCGGGAACUGUGAGACAGGUGCUGCAUGGCUGUCGUCAGCUCGUGUUGUGAAAUGUUGGGUUAAGUCCCGCAACGAGCGCAACCCUUAUCCUUUGUUGCCAGCGGUCCGGCCGGGAACUCAAAGGAGACUGCCAGUGAUAAACUGGAGGAAGGUGGGGAUGACGUCAAGUCAUCAUGGCCCUUACGACCAGGGCUACACACGUGCUACAAUGGCGCAUACAAAGAGAAGCGACCUCGCGAGAGCAAGCGGACCUCAUAAAGUGCGUCGUAGUCCGGAUUGGAGUCUGCAACUCGACUCCAUGAAGUCGGAAUCGCUAGUAAUCGUGGAUCAGAAUGCCACGGUGAAUACGUUCCCGGGCCUUGUACACACCGCCCGUCACACCAUGGGAGUGGGUUGCAAAAGAAGUAGGUAGCUUAACCUUCGGGAGGGCGCUUACCACUUUGUGAUUCAUGACUGGGGUGAAGUCGUAACAAGGUAACCGUAGGGGAACCUGCGGUUGGAUCACCUCCUUACCUUAAAGAAGC
rnacentral:rRNA from 1 species